CAGCGCUCCAAGUUGCAGCCUUGAUUAUUGGGCCUAAAGCAUCCGUAGCCGGCGCUGUAAGUUUUCGGUUAAAUCUGUACGCUCAACGUACAGGCUGCCGGGAAUACUGCAGCGCUAGGGAGUGGGAGAGGUAGACGGUACUCGGUAGGAAGGGGUAAAAUCCUUUGAUCUAUUGAUGACCACCUGUGGCGAAGGCGGUCUACCAGAACACGUCCGACGGUGAGGGAUGAAAGCUGGGGGAGCAAACCGGAUUAGAUACCCGAGUAGUCC
rnacentral:rRNA from 1 species